rnacentral:hammerhead_ribozyme from 1 species
CCACAACUGACGAGUCCCAAACAGGACGAAAUGUGCGUCAAAUUGGAU